rnacentral:lncRNA from 10 species
AGGCACUGAGAGAUUACAUAACUUCCCUUGAGUCAUAUUUGCUUGUAAGUGGUAAGGCUGGAUGUUGAACCCAGGACAAAGGGAGCCCAGUGGAGGAUCCCUGGAGGAGCAAAUAGAAGAAACCCAAAAGGGACUUGAAAGCGGGUCCCCUCCCUCACCUGGAUUCCCAGUCCGAAGAGGAGGAAGCAUCCGCCCUCCUUCCCUCCUUCUGACCCACCCAGCCACCCACCCAA